rnacentral:rRNA from 1 species
UGAGUAACACGUAUCCAACCUGCCGUCUACUCUUGGACAGCCUUCUGAAAGGAAGAUUAAUCCAGGAUGGCAUCAUGAGUUCACAUGUCCGCAUGAUUAAAGGUAUUUUCCGGUAGACGAUGGGGAUGCGUUCCAUUAGACAGUAGGCGGGGUAACGGCCCACCUAGUCUUCGAUGGAUAGGGGUUCUGAGAGGAAGGUCCCCCACAUUGGAACUGAGACACGGUCCAA